UGAGACCAUUGGAGAAAUUGGCAUCAGAGGGAAAACAUGAUCGUGAUUUGGCACUGUGCAGGUCUGGGAUGCCUGGCUUGGAACAAAAGAAUUUCAGAGGAGAAGAGGGAGGAUCCAGGGAAAAGGACCAGGCAGAGCUGAAUCCACUCCACAGACUGAAGAUAUCCAUAAUGCCUGGAGGCACUGCUGCAAAUCCCCUCCUAUCCUGAACUCCUUGAGGACCAAGAACAAAGUUCUUAAAUCUCUGCACAUGAGGAGAAU
rnacentral:lncRNA from 12 species